rnacentral:rRNA from 1 species
AUUGAACGCUGGCGGCAGGCUUAACACAUGCAAGUCGAGCGGAGAUGAGGUGCUUGCACCUUAUCUUAGCGGCGGACGGGUGAGUAAUGCUUAGGAAUCUGCCUAUUAGUGGGGGACAACAUUCCGAAAGGGAUGCUAAUACCGCAUACGUCCUACGGGAGAAAGCAGGGGAUCUUCGGACCUUGCGCUAAUAGAUGAGCCUAAGUCGGAUUAGCUAGUGGGUGGGGUAAAGGCCUACCAAGGCGACGAUCUGUAGCGGGUCUGAGAGGAUGAUCCGCCACACUGGGACUGAGACACGGCCCAGACUCCUACGGGAGGCAGCAGUGGGGAAUAUUGGACAAUGGGGGGAACCCUGAUCCAGCCAUGCCGCGUGUGUGAAGAAGGCCUUAUGGUUGUAAAGCACUUUAAGCGAGGAGGAGGCUACUGAGACUAAUACUCUUGGAUAGUGGACGUUACUCGCAGAAUAAGCACCGGCUAACUCUGUGCCAGCAGCCGCCGUAAGAC